UGGGGAAUAUUGGACAAUGGGCGGAAGCCUGAUCCAGCCAUGCCGCGUGUGUGAAGAAGGCCUUUUGGGUGUAAAGCACUUUAAGCGAGGAGGAGGCUACUUGGAUUAAUACUCUAGGAUAGUGGACGUUACUCGCAGAAUAAGCACCGGCUAACUCUGUGCCAGCAGCCGCGGUAAUACAGAGGGUGCGAGCGUUAAUCGGAUUUACUGGGCGUAAAGCGUGCGUAGGCGGCUUCUUAAGUCGGAUGUGAAAUCCCUGAGCUUAACUUAGGAAUUGCAUUCGAUACUGGGAAGCUAGAGUAUGGGAGAGGAUGGUAGAAUUCCAGGUGUAGCGGUGAAAUGCGUAGAGAUCUGGAGGAAUACCGAUGGCGAAGGCAGCCAUCUGGCCUAAUACUGACGCUGAGGUACGAAAGCAUGGGGAGCAAACAGG
rnacentral:rRNA from 1 species